AUGGGGAGGGAAGACGGAACUGAGGGGAACGAGGACAAUGAAGAUGAUGAAGAAGAAGAGGAUGACGAAAAAGAAGAUGAUGAAGGAAAGGAGGACGAUGAUGAUGAAGAAGGCGAUGGGAAUGACAAAGACAAGGAAGAUGAUGGGCAGGGGAAGCAGGAUGAAGAUGACAGUGGAGGUGGCAACGGUGGUUCAGGCAACAAUGGUGGCUCCGAUCGGGACGAGGAUCCCGCAGCUGAAAACCCAAGCAGCGAUGAUGAUGAACAAUGCAUGCUGCAAUUUCUGAUUGAAAAGAAGAGGGACAGAAAGGCAAAAGGAUUGGAUGAGGCAGAUAGGAUCUCUAUCAGAGACCUUCAACCGAAGCGAGGAGGAUGUUCGAAGAGUUGUUGA
rnacentral:rRNA from 1 species